rnacentral:rRNA from 1 species
UACAGAGGUCUCAAGCGUUGCUCGGAUUCAUUGGGCGUAAAGGGUGCGUAGGUGGCGCCGUAAGUCGGGUGUGAAAUUUCGGAGCUUAACUCCGAAACUGCAUUCGAUACUGCGGUGCUCGAGGACUGGAGAGGAGACUGGAAUUCAUGGUGUAGCAGUGAAAUGCGUAGAGAUCAUGAGGAAGACCAGUGGCGAAGGCGGGUCUCUGGACAGUUCCUGACACUGAGGCACGAAGGCCAGGGGAGCAAACGGG